rnacentral:rRNA from 1 species
GACGAACGCUGGCGGCGUGCUUAACACAUGCAAGUCGAACGGAAAGGCCCUGCUUUUGUGGGGUGCUCGAGUGGCGAACGGGUGAGUAACACGUGAGUAACCUGCCCUUGACUUUGGGAUAACUUCAGGAAACUGGGGCUAAUACCGGAUAGGAGCUCCUGCUGCAUGGUGGGGGUUGGAAAGUUUCGGCGGUUGGGGAUGGACUCGCGGCUUAUCAGCUUGUUGGUGGGGUAGUGGCUUACCAAGGCCUUGACGGGUAGCCGGCCUGAGAGGGUGACCGGCCACAUUGGGACUGAGAUACGGCCCAGACUCGUACGGGAGGCAGCAGUGGGGAAUAUUGCACAAUGGGCGGAAGCCUGAUGCAGCAACGCCGCGUGCGGGAUGACGGCCUUCGGGUUGUAAACCGCUUUCGCCUGUGACGAAGCGUGAGUGACGGUAAUGGGUAAAGAAGCACCGGCUAACUACGUG